GAUGAACGCUGGCGGCGUGCCUAAUACAUGCAAGUCGAGCGAACGGACGAGAAGCUUGCUUCUCUGAUGUUAGCGGCGGACGGGUGAGUAACACGUGGAUAACCUACCUAUAAGACUGGGAUAACUUCGGGAAACCGGAGCUAAUACCGGAUAAUAUUUCGAACCGCAUGGUUCAAAAGUGAAAGACGGUCUUGCUGUCACUUAUAGAUGGAUCCGCGCUGCAUUAGCUAGUUGGUAAGGUAACGGCUUACCAAGGCAACGAUGCAUAGCCGACCUGAGAGGGUGAUCGGCCACACUGGAACUGAGACACGGUCCAGACUCCUACGGGAGGCAGCAGUAGGGAAUCUUCCGCAAUGGGCGAAAGCCUGACGGAGCAACGCCGCGUGAGUGAUGAAGGUCUUCGGAUCGUAAAACUCUGUUAUUAGGGAAGAACAGAUGUGUAAGUAACUGUGCACAUCUUGACGGUACCUAAUCAGAAAGCCACGGCUAACUACGUG
rnacentral:rRNA from 1 species